rnacentral:rRNA from 1 species
AGACUUGGCAAAUCCGGUUUUCCAUAACUCUGAGGUGCGAAGUGGUUCUGACCUUUUGGUACAGAGAAGUCAUUGAUGCCCGGCUUCCAGGAAAAGCUGCUAGCCAUAACUUAUAGAGAACCGUACCGCAAACCGACACAGGUGGACAGGUAGAGAAUACUAAGGCGCUUGAGAGAACUCGGGUGAAGGAACUAGGCAAAAUGGUACCGUAACUUCGGGAGAAGGUACGCCCUUUCUGGUGAUGGGAUUUACUUUCAGAGCUGGAGAGGGCCGCAGAGACCAGGUGGCUGCGACUGUUUAUUAAAAACACAGCACUCUGCAAAUUCGUAAGAAGACGUAUAGGGUGUGACGCCUGCCCGGUGCCGGAAGGUUAAUUGAUGGGGUUAUCUUCGGAGAAGCUCUUGAUCGAAGCCCCGGUAAACGGCGGCCGUAACUAUAACGGUCCUAAGGUAGCGAAAUUCCUUGUCGGGUAAGUUCCGACCUGCACGAAUGGCGUAACGAUGGCCACACUGUCUCCACCCGAGACUCAGUGAAAUUGAAAUCGCUGUGAAGAUGCAGUGUACCCGCGGCUAGACGGAAAGACCCCGUGAACCUUUACUAUAGUUUUGCACUGGACUUUGAUGAUGACUGUGUAGGAUAGGUGGGAGGCUGUGAAGUGAGGACGCUAGUUCUCAUGGAGCCGCCCUUGAAAUACCACCCUGUUGUUAUUGAGGUUCUAACUUGGUCCAGUAAUCCUGGAUGAGGACAGUGUAUGAUGGGUAGUUUGACUGGGGCGGUCUCCUCCCAAAGAGUAACGGAGGAGCACAAAGGUACCCUCGGUACGGUCGGACAUCGUACCAAGAGUGUAAAGGCAAAAGGGUGCUUGACUGCGAGAGUGACGGCUCGAGCAGGAACGAAAGUUGGUCUUAGUGAUCCGGUGGUUCUGAAUGGAAGGGCCAUCGCUCAACGGAUAAAAGGUACUCCGGGGAUAACAGGCUGAUACCGCCCAAGAGUUCAUAUCGACGGCGGUGUUUGGCACCUCGAUGUCGGCUCAUCACAUCCUGGGGCUGAAGCAGGUCCCAAGGGUAUGGCUGUUCGCCAUUUAAAGUGGUACGCGAGCUGGGUUUAGAACGUCGUGAGACAGUUCGGUCCCUAUCUGCCGUGGGCGUAGGAAAAUUGAGAGGAGCUGCUCCUAGUACGAGAGGACCGGAGUGGACGAACCUCUGGUGCACCGGUUGUCACGCCAGUGGCAUGGCCGGGUAGCUAAGUUCGGACGGGAUAACCGCUGAAAGCAUCUAAGCGGGAAGCCUCCCUCAAGAUGAGUUUUCCCAUGAAGCCCGUUGAAGACUACGACGUUGAUAGGCAAGGUGUGGAAGCGCAGUAAUGCGUGAAGCUAACUUGUACUAAUUGGCUGAUUGUCUUGACCAUAUAAUCUGAG